UGGGGAAUUUUGGACAAUGGGCGCAAGCCUGAUCCAGCCAUGCCGCGUGCGGGAUGAAGGCCUUCGGGUUGUAAACUGCUUUUGUACGGAACGAAAAGACUCCUUCUAAUAAAGGGGGUCCAUGACGGUACCGUAAGAAUAAGCACCGGCUAACUACGUGCCAGCAGCCGCGGUAAUACGUAGGGUGCGAGCGUUAAUCGGAAUUACUGGGCGUAAAGCGUGCGCAGGCGGUCUUGUAAGACAGUCGUGAAAGCCCCGGGCUUAACCUGGGAACUGCGAUUGUGACUGCAAGGCUAGAGUGUGUCAGAGGGGGGUGGAAUUCCGCGUGUAGCAGUGAAAUGCGUAGAUAUGCGGAGGAACACCGAUGGCGAAGGCAAUCCCCUGGGCCUGCACUGACGCUCAUGCACGAAAGCGUGGGGAGCAAACA
rnacentral:rRNA from 1 species